GAUGAACGCUGGCGGCGUGCUUAACACAUGCAAGUCGAACGGAAAGGCCCAAGCUUGCUUGGGUACUCGAGUGGCGAACGGGUGAGUAACACGUGGGUGAUCUGCCCUGCACUUCGGGAUAAGCCUGGGAAACUGGGUCUAAUACCGGAUAGGACGAUGGUUUGGAUGCCAUUGUGGAAAGUUUUUUCGGUGUGGGGUGAGCUCGCGGCCUAUCAGCUUGUUGGUGGGGUAAUGGCCUACCAAGGCGUCGACGGGUAGCCGGCCUGAGAGGGUGUACGGCCACAUUGGGACUGAGAUACGGCCCAGACUCCUACGGGAGGCAGCAGUGGGGAAUAUUGCACAAUGGGCGCAAGCCUGAUGCAGCGACGCCGCGUGGGGGAUGACGGCCUUCGGGUUGUAAACUCCUUUCGCUAGGGACGAAGCGUUUUUGUGACGGUACCUGGGGAAGAAGCACCGGCUAACUACGUG
rnacentral:rRNA from 1 species